UCUUCCGCAAUGGACGAAAGUCUGACGGAGCAACGCCGCGUGCGUGAUUAAGGCUUUCUGGUCGUAAAACUCUGUUGUUAGGGAAGAACAAGUGCUAGUUGAAUAAACUGGCACCUUCACGGUACCGAACCAGAAAGCCACCGCUAACUACGUGCCAGCAGCCGCGGUAAUACGUAGGUGGCAAGCGUUAUCCGGAAUUAUUGGGCGUAAAGCGCGCGCAGGUGGUUUCUUAAGUCUGAUGUGAAAGCCCACGGCUCAACCGUGGAGGGUCAUUGGAAACUAGGAGACUUGAGUGCAGAAGAGGAAAGUGGAAUUCCAUGUGUAGCGGUGAAAUGCGUAGAGAUAUGGAGGAACACCAGUGGCGAAGGCGACUUUCUGGUCUGUAACUGACACUGAGGCGCGAAAGCGUGGGGAGCAAACAGG
rnacentral:rRNA from 1 species